CUAUGCCCAAAGAACCUGCCGCCCGGAAGCAACAACUUCCAUCAAACGGCAAAGAAAAGUUCCUAGGGAGAGAGCUUAGCGCCCAAGCAGCCUGCGCUAGUGCCGAGACAGAACAGGAGAGCAGCAGACAGUGCAGGCCGGGCCAGCCUGCAGGCGGUGGCUGCGGCGGCGCUGGUAGGGCAGACCCGGGCUCCGGAAGGCUCCAGGUCCGGGGGUGGCCGCCGGCCUUGGGCACAGUGCCGGCUUUCGCACCCCUCCCCACGACCGCGAGCAGUGGGCGGAGAGAUUAGAGCAAAGGAAAAGACGGACAAUGCCUGGCCGGGCCGGCGACCUCCGUGCGGCCCCCGCCGGCCCGUCCCUACUCGGGCGGCCAGCUACCGGGCUAAGUUUCCUAAGCCCUGCCUCCAGCCCCGGCGGCGAAAGCUCGGCCGCCGCCUUCCUCCCAGCCGGGCGGUUCCCGCGAGUCUGCGAGGAGGAGGCAGCGUGCGAGCCGAGCCGGGCGCGCAAGGAGGCGGCGCGCGAGGUAAGCGGACGCGCGGGGAGCCGGCGGCGCGCGCCGAAUGAGGCCGGGCGCGCGCGGGGGGACCCGGCACGAAGAGGAAGGAGCGCGGUGGGGAGUUGGGAGCGCGGGGCUCCCCCGGGACCCCCCGCAGCUCCGACGGGGUUUCAGUUGACUCGGACUGCACCGCAGCGAGAGUCCGUUAGGAGUCUCCGCCUGGGCGCGCAGCUGGCCGACCAUCCCGGCCCGCCUCCCCCUCGCUCCCACCAGGAAGGGCAGCCGGGCGAGAGCCAGUGACCUCUCCUCCCGCCAGAGCCCGACGGGCGCCCGGCGGUGCUGCGAGCUCUUCCCACCCCUUCCCUGCCCCGCCCACCCCUUCGCCUUCCUGAUUGGCGAGAAACCUACAACAGGAACAGGAGUCCCAGCCUUCCAGUGGCUGGACCAGACGCCCUUCAGACUCACCCCGCCUCCGUCCCGCCCCCUCCCCCUGGUUGGCACAACCUCUAAUCACUCUCUAUCGUCUCCCCUAACGUUGCUUUGGAGAACUGGCACUCAAAGCUCACCCUCCCGCCUCCGGAAAGCGAACUUUAUUUUUAUUGGCGAAAGCACACCUUCCUGUGCACCUGAUUGGGCAAGGAGGAGGCUAAUCGGCACGCCUCUUACCUAUUAUCACUCUCCCUUUACGGAUUUAAGAAAACCGCAAAGUCUUUCCUACUUUGCCUUCCAAGCGCCUUUCUCUUUAAAUGUUGCUAAAAGUAGAAGACAAUUUCGCAGCCUGUAUUAAGGGAAGCGGAAAAGAAGAAAGAGAAAGAUUAAAAAUGCUCUCCAGAUGGGUAGUACAUCGGAGCUGGGUCUGGCAUCCUGCGGAUCCUAAUCCUGUGGUCUGGUGCAUGGAGUGGUUACGUUGAGCUAAAGCACCUGAAAUUCUAAUAUUGACUCCUGAGAUCUACUCACAAGCUUUCACUCACCGUUCUCUCCAUUCACACCCUUAGUUUCUUUGGCAUUUCUCCACCCAGAAGAGCUUUAAUAAAGGCGUCUGCGAACCUGAAGCUUCCCUUGUUUAUCUCGCGGUCGUUCAUUUAGAAAAGCAUCUAAGCCUUUCCAUUAAAAGUUCCGUUUAGUCACGUCCUUUGCGUCUCUCUGGCGUUUGCACAAGAGGAAUAAGGACACCCCAAGAUUAACCCAAGCAGGCACCAGAAAGCUAUUCUUUUCACUUCUCAGGAACAAACACGGCUCCCCCGAGGAAGACAAACCGUGGCCCUGUGCAUCAGAAAGAGAUUACAGUUGACUCGGACCAUUGGGGUCUGCAUUAAGAUAGCCCCAAUUUCCCACCCAACUGCAAGAACCCACAGGAGAAAAGAUUCCCUACAACAGAGAGUCACCUAGACAUGAAAGAAAUUCUGCUUCUACAACAAUUGACAAAAAGUAGACAGAUUCAUGUUUGACCACACUGGAUACUGGAUCAAGAUGCUGGAGAUAGACCUGAGAUUAAAGAACAAAGAAAUCUUAUCCACUAAACAGUAUUGAUUAGAACCAAAAUAUUUUGUCAUUGGAGGCCUUAUGUUACCCUUAAAAAUAAACUUUCGGAUAUUUUG
ensembl:lncRNA